rnacentral:rRNA from 1 species
UCUACGGGUGGCAGCAGUGAGGAAUCUUGGUCAAUGGACGAGAGUCUGAACCAGCCAAGUAGCGUGAAGGAUGACUGCCCUAUGGGUUGUAAACUUCUUUUAUGAAGGAAUAAAACGAGGCACGUGUGCCUUUUUGCAUGUACUUUAUGAAUAAGGAUCGGCUAACUCCGUGCCAGCAGCCGCGGUAAUACGGAGGAUCCGAGCGUUAUCCGGAUUUAUUUGGUUUAAAGGGAGCGUAGAUGGGUUGUUAAGUCAGUUGUGAAAGUUUGCGGCUCAACCGUAAAAUUGCAAUUGAUACUGGCAGUCUUGAGUACAGUUGAGGUAGGCGGAAUUCGUGGUGUAGCGGUGGAAUGCGUAGAUAUAACGAAGAACCCCGAUUGCGAAGGCAGCUGACUAAUCUGUGACUGACAUUGAGGCUCGAAAGUGUGGGUAUCGAACAGGAUUAGAUACCCGAGUAGUC